CAUCUUUUCUUGUUAUUUAUUUGAGAUUUGACCUGCCCAAUGAUUAAAUUUAAUGGCCGCGGUAUUUUGACCGUGCAAAGGUAGCAUAAUCAUUAGUCUAUUAAUUGUUGACUUGUAUGAAUGGUUGGACGAGAUAUUGACUGUCUCAUUUUGUUUUUUAUAAUUUAAAUUUUGAGUUAAAAUGCUUAAAUAUUUUUAAAGGACGAGAAGACCCUGUAGAUCUUUAUUAAUUGAUUUAUUAAUUUGUUUAGUUUUUUAUUUGUUGGUAGUUUUAUUGGUUUAGUUGGGGUGACAUGGGGAAAUAGUUAACUCUUUAUUAUUUUUUGCAUUGAUUUAUGUUUUAUUUGACCUUUUAUUAUUGUUAUAAGAUAUAGAUACCUCAGGGAUAACAGCGUAAUUCUUAUUGAGAGUUCUUAUCGACAUAAGAGAUUGCGACCUCGAUGUUGGAUUAAGAUUAUUAUUAGGUGUAGGUGCUUAAUUAUUAGGUCUGUUCGACCUUUAAAUUCUUACAUGAU
rnacentral:rRNA from 1 species